rnacentral:rRNA from 1 species
UGGGGAGUGACGUCAAAUCAUCAUGCCCCUUACUGUUCUGGGCUACACACGUGCUACAAUGGCCGGUACAGACGGACGCAAAGCCGCGAGGUGGAGCAAAUCCUAAAAAAGCCGGUCUCAGUUCGGAUUGCAGGCUGCAAUUCGCCUGCAUGAAGUCGGAAUCGCUAGUAAUCGCAGGUCAGCAUACUGCGGUGAAUACGUUCCCGGGCCUU